GAUGAAGAACGUAGCGAAAUGCGAUAAGUAAUGUGAAUUGCAGAAUUCAGUGAAUCAUCGAAUCUUUGAACGCACCUUGCACCCUUUGGCAUUCCGAAGGGUAUGCUCGUUUGAGUGUCAUUAUACUCUCACACUCCCAAUUGCUUUGGAUUGGGAGCGGUGGACUUGGGUGUUGCUGCUUGACUGAGGCUCACCUGAAAUAUGUUAGUGCACCUCUUGAUUGGACAUAGUACGGCGUGAUAAGUGUCUUCGCCGGCUCCUCGCAAAGAGGGUGGCCGAUCGGGAGCUCUGUUGCUUCAAACUGUCUUCGGACAAUCUUCUGGCGACUUGACCUCAAAUCGAGUAGGACUACCCGCUGAACUUAAGCAUAUCAAUAAGCGGAGGA
rnacentral:misc_RNA from 1 species